rnacentral:lncRNA from 1 species
CCGCUACCAUGGCACAUGGAGGUUCCCGGGCUAGGGGUCUAAUCAGAUCUGUAGCCACCAGCCUGCGCCAGAGCCACAGCAAUACCAGAUCCGAGCCACAUCUGCAACCUACACCAUAGCUGACGGCAACGCUGGAUCCUUAACCCACUGAUCGAGGCCAGGGAUCAAACCCGAAACCUCAUAGUUCCUAAUCGAAUUCAUUAACCACUGAGCCAUGAGGGGAACUCCUCCUCUUCAGGCAUUUUUAAACUAUUGGGGAGGUGGUGACUCCAGUGCAAGAUGGUGACAGGAGAAUCCUGAAUUCACCUCUUUCCAGGGCCAUACCAAAUCUUCAGCUAAAUAUGGAACAACUUCCUCUGGGGGAAACACACAAACGCACACACACACACACACACACACACACACACACACACACACACACAAAUCUACAAACCAUCUGAGCAAAUCCUACACAAGAAGCCAAUGAAAGAAGGCCCAUAUUGAAGUGGAUAGAGGUGGCUGGGACACAAUCUCUCUAUAAACCUUAUCCCUGGCUGUCGCAACAUAUGUUUCUACAAUAUUUUCUUAGCCUCUUUGCUGAAAACUCCAUCUUGUCCUGCUUUACUUUACCCUAUCUUCCUGCUUGAAAAACAGUCGCAGUGCUGGUAAAUGACUUAAGCUUAAGAACAAAGACCUAAAGGCAUAAAUUAUUCAUAUGGUCAGCUCAAUGAGGACGUAAUGCCUUGGUCUAGGCACACUGGACCUGUGCAGAUUGACAUGCCAUUUGCACAGCAUGAUAUGUCCUCUGAAGAAUAAGAGAAAGAGGAACCUCAUGGCCCCAAGUGGUUUAUGAGGGUUCGUUAGCAGAAUAUGCAUUAGCAAAGAGAACCAAGGUGCAAACCUAGGCACCCGGGUUGCCACAGAUAGGCAUGUCAUUUGUUGAAGCACAAUGAUGAUUCUCUAGAUGCUAUGCAUAGACAGCUGAAGCCAAGCUUUCUCAAAUGCUAAUGAUUGUUAAAUGCCUAAAGAUCAGAGUAAAAGCUUAACCAUCUACCAACUAUGUGACUUUUAAAAUAAUAAAAGAACUUCUAAAGUAAUAAAAAAAAAAAAACUAUAUUCUGCACCUAUAGCCCCUCCUCACUUGACAUAAUCCCAAAAAGCACAAUAAAAGCGAUGUGGAUUCCUUGAGGCAGCGCUCUUGGCCCCUGAGACCUUGAGACCCCCAUUCCCACCUUUAAUUAAGAUAAAUGUCUCUUGUGUCUUGUUUUAUGUUAACUUUUUUCUUAAAUUUCACAGCACCUGUUCUUCAGCCCUAACCUGCUGAGCUGGUCUCGGGAUCUGGCACAGCUACCCACAAUCAGGAGGAAACUACAAACCCAGAGCCUGUCCCUGAGGAGCCAAAGCUUUAAACCCCACAUCAGACCCUGAAACUUUUAAGACCUGCACUUGAAAGAUAAACCCCCAAAACUUGAAGCUUUGAAAUCCAAAGGGCCUCAAAUACACAACAUUAUAUGGCUAUAAUAAUUUGAGAAAGGGCUUGCGAGAUCUGUUUCCAUGGCUUUAGGGCUCAGCUUGGAGGCAACAGGUGGAGAGGUUUAUUUGCUAAUCUUAUAGCACUGGCCUGGGGCAUCUAAUUUAAUGCGUGUUUAGAGGCUGGAAGUCACCAUCUUCAAGGACUCCUUGCCUCCCUAUAGCUUACACCUCCCAGAAAGGAAUUUAUGCACUCAUCUGGAGUCUCAGUUUUUUCAACUGACAUCUGGGAAUUGCCUUCAAACCUCCAAACUGCCUGGCUCUGGUGGCCAACAUGGCUUAGGCUUGUAGUCCCACAGGACUGUAUAUAUUUGUAUACUUAAAGCUGUUAGAAGCUGAGGGUCUGACUUCUAAUCAGGCUGAAUCUGGAUAUUGACUGAGAUCCUCUCUUGAGGGACACUGAAAUGUCUCAGCACACCCUCAACCACUGGGGGCCAUUAAAAAUAAAAUAGGCUCUUUGGACAAUUACAAAGGUUUGAGAGACAAUCUAGAGCAAGGACAGGGUUAAACAAAAAAGUUCAUCCCCUUCUUGCCACCACUUCAAGACUGAGAGGUGGCUGUUUUAUCUAACACAUAACGACUACCUGGAGAGUCAAGCAAAAUGAAAAGGUAAAGAAAUAUGUUUGAAAUAAAAGAAAGUGAUAAAAACUUAAAUUAUGUUUUUUGAUAGAACUAAAUAGUAGCAUGCAAUAAAUAUGUUCUCUGGUUACUUUAAUUCAGUUAAGGUUAUAUCCAUAGAGAUGUUUAUAGUAUAUAAUUUGAACUGCAUAACCUAGAAAUAUUGAAAAAUAAAGUUACGUAUGUCACAAACGCACAAAAUGUAUGCCAAUACCAUUCUAUCCUUAUAUAGGCAUAUAGUGAGUAAUAUAGAAUAUAAAAUUAACAGUGUUAGUUUUCUUACUGCCUUAUAACUUUACUUUUAAAGAAUUAAAUUACCUUAUGGUAUGUUUCUUCCUCAUAACUGAAGAAACUGAAUAUCAGCCUAUCAUCAUGUGCAAAUAUUUUUUAAUGUAACAGUGUUCCAAAUAUUGUAUUAUGAAUAUAACUUAACACUGUAUGCCAUACAGACUUUAUAAUGAUUCAUUGAUUAGUGUAUAGUCUAGGCUACUGUGAAGAAAUCAAAUAGAUUACAUUUUGCUGCCAUAAAUCAAUCUCGUUGCUGCUUCCUGGUUAUAUUUAUGAAUUUUUACAUCUGCAAAAAAUGUUUAAUUUUUACAUCUGUAAAAAAUAUUUAUUUUUUAUGGUAUCUCUUCUAAUCUUUAAUGUCUAGUAUUGGUAAUAUGUAUAUCAUCUACAGUGUUUUGUAUAAUAUAAAACAAUAUUGAUGUAAGUACUGACAGACAAUUCAUCUUAUAAACACAUAAUGUAAAUUUACAGUAUUGAUAUAUACAAUACAGUACUAUAACAUUUUUUUACAGUUUUCCUUUCUCUAGUUUGAUUAAUUGUAAGAAGAAAAUACAAAAUAUAUGUUAAUCAACUCUUUAUAUUAUAUAUAUAGGUAAGGCUUCCAGUCACCAGUAGACUAUCAGUAGUUAAGUUUCGGUGGAGCCAGAAAUUAUAUGUAUAAUACAUGGUAAAUUCACAAGGGGAUAUAAAAUGUUUUCUCAUUUUGGAAAAAAAUUCUCAAAUUUUCUUAUAAAAUAAAUACAUGUCUACUCUAUCACAUAAAAAUUUCAUUGAUACAUGAAAAUAAAAGCAUUUGUCCACAAAAAGAUCUCUAUAUGAAUUUCACAGUCACUUUAUAAAUAAAAUUCAGUGCUGAAAGGUGAAAGUAGCUCAAAUAUUGUUUUUUUUUUUUUUUUUUUUUUUUUUUUAGGGCAGCACCCUCAGCACAUAGAAUUUCCCAGGCUAGGGGUUGAACCAGCUACAGCUGCUGGCUACAGCAAAAAGGGAUCUGAGCCAUAUCUGUGAACCACACCACAGCUCACAGCAAUGCCAGAUACUUAACCCACUGAGCGAGGCCAGGGAUCAAAUCCACAUCCUCAUGGAUACUAGUUGGAUUUGUUUCCUCUGAGCCACAAUGGAAUUCCCUCAAAUAUUCUUCAGUAAGCAAACUGAUUGGAAAAAAAAAAAAAACAAAAACAAAAAACCAAACUCUUGAAUCCCCUACAUGUUACUAAAAUUACAAAAGACGGUUUUCUCCUCUAAGAAAUGCAAAAGUUGGAGUUCCCAUUGUGGUGCAGCAGAAGUGAAUCCGACUAGUAACCAUGAGGUUGCAGGUCCAAUCCCUGGCCUUGCUCAGGGGUUAAGGAUUUGGCUUUGCUGUGAGCUCUGGCGUAGGUCACAGAGUUGACUCGGAUCCUAUGUUGCUGUGGCUUAGGCCAGAAGCUGUAGCUCCAGUCCGGCUUUGAUUGGCUGGCUACCAACUGUUUCUGAUCUGUUGCUGGGUUCAAUCCCUGGCCUUGCUCAUUGGGAUAAGGAUUAGGCUUUGCCAUGAGCUGUGGUGUAGGUCGUAGACAUGGCUGGGAUUCUGCAUUGCUGUGGGUGUGGUGCAGGCCAGAAGUUGUAGCUCCUAUUUGACCCCUAGCCUGGGAACCUCCAUAUACCCUCCAUUUGCCCUAAAAACCUAAAAAAAAAAAAAAAAAAAAAA